UCCGGAGGAGCCGGCGCCCUAGGAGACCAGUUCUGUUUUGAAAUUCCAUUAGGCAACAGCCUAAUGAUGGGCCACUGAUCACUGCAGGUUCCUACACAUCAUUCUUGCCCCUGAACUGCACCCUCCUCCUCGGCCCUGCCCUGGCGGCGCCAGUCUGCUUCCUGUGUUCAGAUUCCCCUGUGCUGGAUGCCUCACGGAGAUGGACUCUGAUCGCCGGUGCCUUCUGUGUCUGGCGUGUUUCACUUAGCCCGUGUUUCCCAGGUUUGCUGCUGUAGGUGGCAUCUGUCAGGAUGCCCUGCCUGAUCUCCAAGGCCCAGCCAGUCUCUCCAACUUCAUCUUUCACUCUCCUCCCUCACUUAUCUGUCUCUGGUCAAAAUGGCUGUUUUAAUGGGUUCCUGCCCCAGGGCCUUUGCACAUGCCAUGUUUGGAGCCCUCCCUUAUUUAGCUUUCAACUGAAAUGUUCCUCCCUGACACCCGCUGCCCCACGGAUGCAUGUGUGCCUGGCUCCUGUGUCACACCGCAGCCUGUCACUUGCUUUCUGUCUUCCUUGUAGCAGUAAUCACUCUGAAAAUCUCUUAUCUAUCCCUUUGUUUACAUGCUUGUGGUCUGUUUCCCUUACCAGAGCGUAAAUUCCUAAAUUCCGUGCCUUUCAGACCUCUGCUACAAACAGCGCCUGGUACAGUAUUGCAUCUCGAGAACUAUUCAUUGGGUGGCUACAGAUUCCCAGCCCAGCUGUCUUUGAUGCUAAUCACUGGAGUAAUCGUGGAAAUGUGAGCUUUUACAAAAGAAGUUUCGCCAACGGUCUCCAGCGAAGGGGCUGUGGAAGCCAGCGGGAUGUUGGUUCCAUCGCAGACCUAGUAGCGUGCUUGAGAGCUUGGGGGUGACCCUGCUCGCUGUGCAUGUGGCUGUGUGUCUCUGUGGCUGAGGAGGGCCCAUGGGGUCAUGGGAGAACAGCUCCCAGCACAGGAGCUCAGAGCUGCCUGGUGCAUAGCUCUGGGCAGGAGACCGGGAUCUGCCUUCCUUGUCACAGAUCUGCCGGGCAGGCUCCUCUGUGGUCUCAGAGCUUCGGCUUCCUCAUCUGUGAACGAGCCUGAGGCACAGACUCACUGCGGUGGCUCGAGAGAUCCUGGGCAAGUGUUUUGCAAAUGGUGAUGCUCCCUGCACUGGUUAUUCCUGCCAGCAUCAGUAUCCAAAACCGGGUGCCCUGCCCGUGCCGGGGUGUGGGCAGGGAAGACGGAGCCCCAGCAGCCACGGCCAUGGCCACCCCGGCUCCCUCCCCCGCCCCAGUGACCCCAGCCACAAUCGUGCCCGUGACCCUUGGGUCAACACCUCCUCUUAAUGCCUUUCCAUUUCUCAGUUUGCUGACUGGGGUGAUUUUCGGUGAGGUCCACAUAAAUACUUCAAAAAUAAUUCACGAUGAAGAGGAACGCUUCUGGAAUGGAUGAUGGCACGACGAAUUAAACGCUUUAGAGGGCCGGACGUAAAUUAUUUUAAUGCAUGUAAUAGAUCCGCCCAGUGAGAGUGGAGCCCCUGCAGGUCAGGCCUCUGUGCCCCUGGGGCCUGGGGGUGGUGGGAGCAGGUGGCUGGGAGCCGGCUCUGCUGGGGCGUGAAUCAUUUCCCUCACCGAAGACCCAUUCUCCUAGCACUUAGGUUCUCCUACCCUGAGCGAGCGGUGGGAAACGUGUCUGCUUCUAGCCAGGCGGGAGCAGGAGCCAGGAGCCAGAUGAGGCUACGUGAAAGCGUCUCUCUGCAUUGGCAGCGACAGAGGCCUGACCUGUCCACCUGCCACCCUGCCUUCCAUUCAUCCUCUGCACCUCUCCAGGGACAGCGAGGGGUGCUGCUGUGUGGCCACAGGCUGUUAACAUGUCAUGUGUCCCUUGGAAAUUAACAGCAGAGUCUCCCCAUUGACACUCACUGCCUGCUAGUGCAGGAAGGGUUCGUUGUGUGCAACAUACCCAUUCAACAGAAGGGAAAGCUGAGGACUCAGCACUCCCCAGGCAUGGCAAGGAAACACACUUGUUCUCGGGCUAUCUCCGCUGUAUUUACGAGCGCUAUCUAAAGACUGCUGUGGCUUUGUACAAGGAGACCCGUAAUUCCAGAAGGAAGAAUUCAUUGAUUCCAGAAUGUGCUUCUCUGACCCCUUAUGGUCAGGGAAUGCACAGUACCAGUGUGUUACGGUUGUCUCGCAGCUGGAGAGAAUCAUUCACUAAUGGUCCCGGUGUCUUUCCCAGGCAGUGGCCACAGCAGCGCAUGGGCCCUGCUCACAGCAAACUCACGGCUGCUCGAUGCUCUUGGGAGGAAUGGAAAUCAAGAGCUAUAGUCGCACGUGCAGUGCAGUCUUUGAGUCCGUCUCCCGCCAGACAGCGCCUCGGUGGCCUGUCCAUCUGCAUCCGAAAUCCCACCCCGGCGAUUCAGCCGUGCAUGGCGGACUUGAUGUGAUGGAGCGUAAGAGCAGGGGGAAUGGAACAUGAGCUGGGAGAGAGUUGUGGGAGGAAGCGAUGGGCCUUGAAUGAAUGAGAUUUGGAUGUGAGGGGCUGAGAAAGAGUGUGAGAAGGUUCCAGCAGGAAGGGGCUGGGUGCUCCCAAGAUCCUCGGGGAGCUCUGCCCUGACAAGUGGACGGGGGAGCGUGGAGCCCAGAGACCAGUGUGUGGGCUGUGUAUGUCCCUCCCGAGUGUGUGGAUGGACAGCCUGACCUUUCAUGGGAUGGUGUUACGAGGCCGGCUUCAUGAGUGGGAUUAGUGCCCAGACCGACCCCACAGAGUUCUCGCGCCCUGUUUUCUACCAUGGGAAUGCAGGUGGAGAAGGUGCGCACGGGUGGGCCGGGAAGCAGGUGCUCCCCAGGCACCAUCUGAGCUGGUCCCUUGAUCGGAGGCGUCUCCAGAACUAUGAGAAGCAAACUUCUGUGACUGACAUGGGGAUGAAGGAACAAAGCUCUUGCAGCUCUGCAGAGAAAGCCUGUGACGGGGACUUUAUUCCCGGGAAGCAGACAGCCCAGAGGGAGAGCCUGCAGGAAGGGCAAGUGUCUUGCACAACCUGCAAGAGGAACCCACCCGGACAGCCACGAAGUCCCGCGGGGCAGCCAGUGGCCAGAGCCGGGGCCUCUCCUGCGCCCGCGGGGUGCAUGGCAGCACUGGCCGCCCACUCUCUCUUUCCUGCUUUGAUCUGCUUCCCGUAGCAGAAGGCCCUGUCUGCAUCGGACACCAGAUGGCCCCCACAACCUUCUUAGAAUGGAUUUGCAUCAGAUAACACGCCGUCUCUGGCUCCCUCCCUGAAGGUGUGGGAGCUGCUUCUCUGGAAAGAAAGAAAAAAAUGAUUGUGAUGGGGCCAUACGUGGACCUUCCAAUGGCCGCUUCGGAGAAACCUGGGGAGGAUUAGAAGAGAGAGCCACAUCCCAGCCACACACCUGCAAUACAAAUCAGAAGGAAGAAGUUAGUUCUUAAACGGCCAGCCGUGCCCAGUGCUGUGCAUGCCUCUGGAGGGAGGGCAAGUGCAUGCCCACCGCCUCCUCGUGCCAUGUUUCUCCGAUGUAGGCAGGGACAUGGUCUGGAGCAGGACCCAGAAGAACACAGACACCUUUGUUUCCUCACACACUCGCUCCAGAGGGCUUGCAGCCAUUCGGGAGGUGUCAGUGCAAGAGGGCCCCCUUGCAGCUGGGAGGCCAGGGACUCCUCUUCUGAGCUGUCCACAAACAGCACCCUGGGAAGGAAGCGGGGAAAGUGAAGAGAACCCGAGACCUGGCCGCGCACCCCAGCGGCACUCCUAAAUGGAUUCUGAGACCAUUGCUGACCCAUAAGAUGCAGACAGCGCCCCCCAUUGAUAGAUGGGGGAAGCCCUUGAACAGCCACAGCACCAAACCCCUAGAAGGGCAGGGAUGACAGGAGGAGGCUGAGGACGGCCCCCUGCUCCUUGUCUGCCUCAGAGCUUUGAAAUGCGACUGUGUUUGAAGCGGCCUGGAUAACUAGAUGCAGCAGCAUUUAGGAGAGGCUGCCUCAAAUCCCUUUGGUAAUAGGAUGAGUAUAAGAUAAAAACGAAUCAAGUAAUGUUUCCCAUCAAAAUCGAGCUGCAUUGGCCAGCACCCUGUGAAACAGUGAUGCUUCCACAAGCAGGAAGACUGUCCCAUCCCUCAGCCCCCAGGUACCUGUCCCGGAUGAGGAGGUGCAGCUUUACAGAUGGGGGGCCUUUGGGGAUGCUCCCCACUGGGCUCAGACCUGCAGGCCCUGGCCUCAUUCCUGUCCUGGCCUCCAUCCACGCCAUAGCCCCAGUCCCCUGUCCCCAGCCCCCAGCCCCCAGCAGCCGUUCUUUGGCCCCGCCCACCCUUCUUUCUGGGCAGUUCUUCCAUCUUCAUCACUCCCCUCCCCAGACCCUUGGAAGAAUCAUCUCUUCCCAGAAUCAAGGACCUGUGCUGAACAGUUUAAAAGACAAUCCUGUGGUUUAACUAGGAACCUAGAAGGGGGUGGAGAAAGCUCUCGAUCAUCCAGUGAGUCUCAGUCUCAAAGGGUGACAGGGCUGAUGAGCUGGCAAAACUCACGCCGUUUGUCAGCCUGGCUUCCUUCUCCAUCGUCUCUUUGUGGUGGUUUAAGACUUGUAGCUGCGUCUCCUGCAGGAAACCUUUGUGGGUCCUUCGUGAUGCUCUGUCCCUUGCCCGCCCCUGGGAAAUGUCAGCUGUGUACUGUGCAGGCCCCUUCCUCCUGGAAGACUGACCAGUCCUGGCCAGCAUGGCUGAGCUGGCCACUUCUGCGUGUGCCCCACACUGGAAGGCCUAUUUUGCUUUUGAGCAGGAAGAUGAAAUGAACUGCAGGCAUAGUUUUUGAGAGCAAGGGCAGGGAGAGCCCCUUGGGUGUGGGGACGUCACUGACUGUAUGGUGAGGCUGACCCCACAUGCGUGUCCAACCUCAGAGCUUUUGCCCUUGAACUUGGAAAGAAUGUGGGGAAGAACAUCAGGGAGAGAGGCUGGGGCGAGGAGAAAAAAGCCCUCAGGUCCUGAACUCAGGGCAUUUGGACAAGAAAAUGGGAUGAAGGGUGGCUGGUGAGACUGGAGGCCUGGCAAGAGCGACCACUCCAGGCCAUGUGCCACCCCAGAGAUUGCCCACGUGUAUGUCUUUCCCUGAACAGUGCAGUGCGUGCCUACCUUGGGGACCCUGAGGUUGGGUGUGGUGGGAGAGGAGACUUCGGGACUCCCUGUCCUUCCUGUCACACAUGCCCACAGGCUCCACUGCCGUCACCUGGCUCUAGAUCACCCCAUGUCAGCGCUGCCUACUGCACCCAGCUUCAGGCAUAUAUGCAAGAUCCCUGGGCCUGGGGAAAGGAAGUGUGGACCAUGUUUCCAGGUCCUGAAAUCUAGUGUUGGCGCCAACACCUGCUCCCUGCCCCCAACAUGUACAUCCCAAAGUCAUGUGCAAGGUGGAAGGCUAGGGUGUGGCCUGGCCAUGCAGACCCCUUCCCCCGCCUUCUCCCUCCCACAUGCAGGUCUGAGCACUGCUGGUCCCUGCCCACAUGGAACCUACAGCCUAGAGGGAGAGUCCCACUCCCGCCUCCGAGACAAGGCGUGAGGGAGGAGAGAAGAGGCCCCAAGCAGACAGAUAAUGGGGUGUCUGGAGUCACCUGACCCCAUUUUGGGGACAUCAGAGAAAGCCUUACUAAGCGCUGUUUUGAUAUCUAGAGGAGAAAAAAGGUUUUAAGGCAUAAUUGGCUGAAGCCCUUUGUGCCUUCUAAGGAUGUGUAUUUGCAGGUGGAAAGUGGCACGGUUCACAUCUGUGAGGACAUCUGUCGCUUGUCGUGGGGCCGGGGUGCCGGCCUGGGCAGGGCACAGCACGCGAACGGCUCCUUUGCAUGAGGAAGGAGGGCUGUGGGGCCUGGCAUGGGGUCUGGGAUGGGAGGGAGAGGGGCUAACACAUGGGCGAACAAAGGCAUGCAUUACUUUAUUUGAGCUGCUGGAGAGAGAUGUCCUGGUCAUGGGAGACAAAGUGAAGUCCAAGUUCAUGGGGCAGACGAGAGAGAAACCUACUGGGAAGUUUUAGUGAUGAGAUGCCGGGAUGCGCCCUCAAAGCUCCUCCCAUUAAGGCAGGACCAGAAAGGCUUUGGCUGAUGGUUGAAGCCUGAUGAAAAUAAAGACACCAGAAACUCCUGGAUUUGGCCAGUGCCGGAAGUUGGAGUUGGAGGCCCUGGGACGCUCGGGGAAGCGUUUGGACUCACCCCAGGUCAAGAGGCUGGAGCCUGUACUGAUGCAGACUUCACAUCUGCGCAACACUGGAACUGGGGGCUGGGGACCGAAGACCUCUUUCUUUGGCACUGCCACUAGUCUGAUAUUAAGGGCAGAAAAUCAGAAUUCCAGGGUUGCUUUAAACAAAACCUUCCAUUAGAUCUGAGUCUGCUCAGUAGCCGGCGCUAAUGGCUGCAAAGUGUGGACAAGUGGGUGUCCUGCUGACCCAGUGCUUCAGAAGAAUGGGGACCGUGUGACAAGUGCGGGAACUGCCGGCUCCCCCGCCCCGACCCAGGGUGGCUCAAAGGCACUUGAAAGCUGCUGGUCUUAAAAGGUUCUGAAUGGUGCCCCACGGUGCCUGUGCAUGGAGCCUGUGCCCAGCAGAUCUUUUGUGCACAGACUGAGCAAGGUACAGCGUGUCUGGCCCUUGUUGAAUUUCCACUUAUUCCAAAUGAUUUAGGAGCAAAUUAAUAAAGACCACAGGACUGGGAAUUCCAUGCACCCCAAACCAACAAGAGAAGCUGUUGGGGCCGGCGCUGCGGCUCACUAGGCUAAUCCUCUGCCUUGCGGUGCCAGCACACCGGGUUCUAGUCCCGGUCGGGGCGCCGGAUUCUGUCCCGGUUGCCCCUCUUCCAGGCCAGCUCUCUGCUGUGGCCAGGGAGUGCAGUGGAGGAUGGCCCAAGUGCUUGGGCCCUGCACCCCAUGGGAGACCAGGAUAAAUACCUGGCUCCUGCCAUCGGAUCAGCGUGGUGCACCGGCCGCAGCGCACAGGCAUUGGAGGGUGAACCAACGGCAAAGGAAGAACUUUCUCUCUGUCUCUCUCUCACUGUCCACUCUGCCUGUCAAAAAAAAAAGAGAGAGAGAGAGAAGCUGUUGGUUUCCUGCUGUUCCCUCGGCGGGGUGCAGGGACAGAGCCUGCCUUUGGGAGAGCUGGAGGAAUUACUCAGCAUGAGCACCUACACAGGGCUUCCCAACAGGGCCAUGAUCAGGGUCACGGGCCUGAGAUGCCUUUGUCUUGGAGGCAGCUGUGCGCAUUGUAGGUUGCUUUGCAGUGUCCUGUGCCUGCAGCACAUCCAGCCCUCCGAACUGUGGCCACCAAGAACACCUACAGGGACCAGCUCUGUGGCGCAGCAUAUAAAGCUGCCUCCUGCAGUGCUGACAUCCCACAUGAGUGCCGGUUCGAGUCUCAGUUGCUCCACUUCCGAUCCAGCUCUCUGCUAUUGUCUGGGAAAGCAGUGAAAGAUGGCCCAAGUCCUUGGGCCCCUGCACCCAUGUAGGACACUGGGAAGUAGCUCCUGGCUCCUGACUUUGGAUCGGUGCAGCCAUUGUGGGCAUCUGGGGAGUGAAUCAGCAGUUGGAAGACCUCUCUCCCUCUGCCUCUAACUUUCAAAUAAAUAAAUAAAUAAAUCUUAAAAAAAAAAAAACACCUACAGACACCCAUGUGCCACGGCUGGGGCAGAAUCGCUGAUGUGGGAGAGGCAGCUCAUGAGACCCUGUCUUCAAACAGCUUAACAUUUGCUCGCAAAGGUAAACCAGGGGUCAAGUGCAAGAAGUCGUGGCACCAGAGAGGCCAGGGGAAGAGAAAAGGCCCCGCUCGUGGUCUCCAAUAACUCUCCGCAUCAUUUCCAUUCCAGUGAGUCUUCCCUUCUUCUCUAAGAACUAUAUUUCUGAAGUCCCAAGUGACACAUUCGACUCAUUAAGGCUUCUUAAUUCCCCCAUGAAUUAUGGCUGCAAGGGUCUGAAGGCCUAGUAUCUCGCCUUAUUACACCUGUAGUUAUGAGCAGUAACUAUGGCCUUUAUUACAACAUUCAGCACCAGCCAUUAAAUUCGAGGCAUGAAAAUGAUUAUUUCACCCCCAAAUCCACCACCACUGGCACACUUCCAUGCAUGUUCUCAUACCAAACCCAGCCUCUCAAAGACUGAGGCCUCUGGCUGGCAAUACCUGAUUUGCUAAGGCUGCCUGUCAAUCAUUCUUCAUCACUUCACAUCAAGUCCAAAGUCAAGGUUUCCUUAAGUAUUGGCAUUAGCUGAUAUUUCUAUAAAUAAAGGAAAAGCUGCUGCUGUCACUCUCCCCGUUUCACCAGAAGAUCUUCUUUUCCCUGUAGAAAUGUAGUAGGGCUAAAACCUUUCGUGUUUAGCUUGGGGCUAAACACACCCUACACGAAGCAGAAAAAUCAUCUAAUUUUUUCAAUGAAAGCCUGUGCCAGUCAAACAUCUUCUUACCCACUCACACUGAAGAGGCAUCAAACAAUGUACAAAUACCAGAAUCCUCCACCACGACAGGCACCUCACCGCGUGCACAUUUAUGAAAAAGAACCCAAUGCAGGGACGGCGUGCGGAACGCCUUUGAGAUACGGAAGACGACACGGUGAGCGCUGCCUGCUUUUGGUGUUUAAGAUUCCACUGCUAAGGAGGACAUGGGCCCGGUUCUCACUGGUCGGGGCUCUCAAAGGUUAUAAAACCCGAACAUUCACGCUGCUCCACGGUGCGGUGUAUCAAUAACGUCCAGCGCAUCCAGGGGCUCCCAGCCUGAGUCCACUGGCAAAGACACAAAGAGCGUGUGGCAGCUCACAGGGGAAGCCGGGAGUGGUGCAGGAAGCUCUUCCGAGAGGGGAAGAGAGAGAGGCGUCCUCUGUUUCACGAAAGAGUUAACAGAAAGAAAUAAAAUCAGAUAUGUGUAGCCUCCAGACGUCCAUUAAAGUGCAGAAUGCGGCUUUCUAUCACAGAUUAUAUGCCAGAUGUUCAAACUAUCUCUAAUCAUUGCAGAUGUAAUGGGGUAGAAUGUUGCAGUUUGUGAGUUUACUGGCAUUAAUCCUAUAUACUGCACAAGGGAAAAGAUUUUAAAUAUAUAAU